rnacentral:rRNA from 1 species
GAGUUUGAUCAUGGCUCAGGAUGAACGCUGGCGGCGUGCUUAACACAUGCAAGUCGAACGGAGUGCUCAUGACGGAGGAUUCGUCCAACGGAUUGAGUUACUUAGUGGCGGACGGGUGAGUAACGCGUGAGGAACCUGCCUCGGAGUGGGGAAUAACACAACGAAAGCUGUGCUAAUACCGCAUGAUGCAGCUGGGUCGCAUGACUCUGGCUGCCAAAGAUUUAUCGCUCUGAGAUGGCCUCGCGUCUGAUUAGCUGGUUGGCGGGGUAGCGGCCCACCAAGGCGACGAUCAGUAGCCGGACUGAGAGGUUGGCCGGCCACAUUGGGACUGAGACACGGCCCAGACUCCUACGGGAGCAGCAGUGGGAAUAUUGGGCAAUGGGCGCAAGCCUGACCCAGCAACGCCGCGUGAAGGAGAAGGCCCUCGGGUUGUAAACUUCUUUUGUCAGGGACGAAGCAAGUGACGGUACCUGACGAAUAAGCCACGGCUAACU